ACGAGUGAGGGUCCUCGCGGCCCGACCUCCCAACCCCAUGCUUAUUGAACCUCUGUUGCUUUGGCGGACCCGUCCCACGACCGCCGGAGGACCGCCUCGCGGCGUCCUCUGGCCAGCGUCCGCCGGUAGCCAACCACUGAAACUCUGAAUGAAUCGUGUCAUGAUGUCUAAGUCUAUGAUUAAAAUACAAGCA
rnacentral:misc_RNA from 1 species